rnacentral:lncRNA from 1 species
AUGGAACGGGGUGAAAGGGGGAAGGGCCAGGAGGGGGCAUUGCAAAUGGACCCUUGGAAGCAAAAAAAAAAAUGCUGCCUGCAACUUCCACCAAUGAACAUCGGGCGAGAUGGGAAGAAGGGAAGUCCCAGGCUCAUUUGACAGAAGAAGAAACUGAGGUCCAAUAGAGUUAAGUAACUUGCCCAGGUAGGAAGUAUUUGAGAUUGGAUUUGAACUCCAGAAGAUGAGUCUUCCUGACUUCAGGCCCAGCACUCUAUCCACCAUGCCCCCUGGUUGCCCUUCUAAUCUAUUGGAUAUAAAUUUACCCCAUUAUUAACAUUAUUAAUUAUCAUUAGAAUCCAACCGACUGUUGGAAAGAUUUAGAGGCUGAUGUGGGUUAAUGGAGUAUAUAUUUGCUUGGGUCAAAUGAUGGCCUGUUAUAUUCUCUGAAGGCCCUUUCAGGAGCCUAUGAAUCAGCUAGGUGGCUAGGUAAGAAAGGGAUUAAGGGGAUUCCUAAAAGGUUUGGGUCAUGCAUGCAUGAAUGAAUGAAAAAGGAUUCUAUUAAGUGCUGACUAUAUGCUAAGCACUGGACUUACAAAUUUACAGAGACAACAUAAUUAGGAGUUUUCAGAUAGCAGUGACACAGAAAGGUCCCAUGGUCCUUAGGGUGCAGGGACAAAGCAGAAGAUAAUACAUCUUCUUUAAUGUUACUUCUACUUUAUCUCAUAAUCAUGGUGACAUGGAGAAGUCCCAUUAGAGUUUGAAGAUAUUCUAGAGCUGAGAGGCCUUUUUCUUUUUAAACCCUUACCUUCCAUCUUAGAAGCAAUACUAUGUUUUGGUUCCAAGGCAGAAGAGCAGUAAGGGCUAGGUAAUGAAGGUUAAGUGACUUGCCCAGGGUCACACAGGCAGGCCAUGUUUGAGAGCAAAUCUGUACCCAGGAUCUCCUCCUAAAAGGAACUUUAAUGGCAAUCUAUUUGUUUUACAGGUGAGCAAACUAGGAACUGAAGAGACUUGACCAAGGAUCUGCAGAGCUGGGAUUUGAAUCCAGAUGCUAUUGAGUUCAGCCCCAGUGUUGUUUUCACUACCCUUCUUUAGAACUGCAAAAUAAAUAAAUUCAGGAAAUUAUUUAUUGGUAAAUA